rnacentral:tRNA from 1 species
AGUCGUAUGGUCUAAUGGUUAUGAUUUCUCGUUCACAGUAUUGUGUACCUUGUCCCGAGAAGGUUCCGUGUUCGAUCCACGGUACGACUA